rnacentral:tRNA from 1 species
GCCUAUAUAGUUUAAAAAAAAUAGUAACUUGUGGUUUUACAGAUGCGUCCUGCUAUAGGCC